GCACGGCCCACAUCCCCCACCUGAAGCCGACGGCGACGGCGACGAGGCAUGAGCGCCCGCGCCGACCUCUGACUGUUGCGGCGAUCCCGGCCCCCUGGAGCAGGCCGGGGCGAGACCGAAUAUCCAAUCCCUUCCCUUCCCCACCGCAAAUCCGGGCCACGGCUCCUCUCCCCUCUCCCGUCCCUCUCUCUCCGCCCCCAGCCUCCCCCUUUCCCGCCCCCCCUCCAUCUCUGAGCGCAACCGCACCGCCGGAGCAGAGUCGGCUGCUCGCCCGCCAGCACCCACAGCCUACCCCGCCCGGAUCGCGCCAGAGGAAAGGAAAGGGGCUAAUCAGCGCAGUUGGAAGGAACUGCUGGAUUUGGGAAUCGUGUGAUGCACUCAGCUGUGGCGCCGAUCCAGACCAACCCGACCUGAUCGCGCCAUCUCCACCACGCACAUGGCGCCCCCUGCUGCCACUGCCACCGCCGCAGGCGGCGGCGGCAGCGGCAACGCCGCCGAGGCUGACGGGGCACCGCGCAUGGCCAAGUUCCUCUGCAGCUUCGGAGGCAGCAUCCUGCCCCGCCCGCUCGACGGCCGCCUCCGCUAUGUCGGCGGCGAUACCAGGAUCGUCAUGUUGCCGCGCGACAUACCCUACGCCGACCUGGCCGCGCGGAUGCGGGAGCUCUACGAGGAGGCCGACAUCAUCAAGUACCAGCAGCCCGAUGAGGAUCUCGAUGCGCUGGUCUCUGUGGUCAACGACGAUGACGUGGUGAACAUGAUGGAGGAGUAUGACAAGCUCAUUGCUGCUGGAGAGGGGUUCACCCGGCUGAGGGUCUUCUUGUUUUCGCAGCACUUGGACGAUGAGGCCGCGUCUGUGGCUGUGCAUUACCAUGGGGACGAGCGGGAGACCGAGAGGAGGUAUGUCGACGCGCUUAAUAGCCUUGGUGACAUGAGGUCGCCUUCCUCUCCUGUAUCGGUGGAGCAGCUUUUUGGGAUCGGAGGCAAUGACUCAGGGAUUCCUGACAGCUUGCGGCAUCUGAAUGUUCCUCGUCCAUCACAUAGUCAGAGGUAUGGGGACAUGGAUUCUCCCUGGAGCCCUGCAUAUAUAUCUCCAGGACAGUACGGAGUGCAUGAUCCAAGGGAUUUUCCCGUUUCACCGUCAUCUGCAAGGUUUCAAGUUGGAGCGGAGGAUUUUGAUGAGAGGAUUCCUGAUGAUUUUGUGAGGCAUUCACCAAAAUAUCGGCAUUAUGAGGCUCAGUCACCGCCGCACGUGGAUAACUUGGUCUGGCUUCCACCUGGUGCUGUAGUCCAACAAAAUGCGGGCUUCCCAGGCAAUCUGGGCCGCUCCGGCAGUUUCUUGGAUGCAAACAGCGUGUACGAUAUCUCCCGUUCACCGUUCCAGAAGGGUCAAGGUUCAGUCAGUGAUCCUCGCUACGUGGAUCCCCGCUGGAGGCCAGUCCAACAACAACACUUUGACCAGUCGGGCAUGACAAAUGAGUAUUCUGCUGCUCACCCUGCUAAUAAUGCCCGUCCAGAUUUUGGCCGCCCUGGUGAGCAAUAUGUGGUGCCCCAAGAUGUUAGACUGGAAAAUGGUGUUUAUGUCAAAGAGCAAACAGGUGGUCACCCUCCCGUGUUCUAUACCGAAUCACAUUCUCAUGAUAGAGCUUGGCAUGCGCAUCCCAACCAAAGUCAUCAACGGUAUGAGGAUCCCAGAUUGAAUCUGCCCGGUAAUGGUAGAGUGAUGGAGCCAUACAUUGAUAGCAACUCCGCUAAUUCUGCAUUCACAACUGGCAAAGUAUAUGAAAUGCAUUCAGCAUCACACAGUCGCUCUAGCCAUGAGAGUCCCCACUAUUAUCACGGCAGUGGUGAGCAUAUCAAUGAUGCCUAUCAUAACCAACAAGUUGUAAGUAGUGGCUCAUAUGUCCAGACAUCAGGUUUCGAUGAAUCUACAGGUCAGCAUUACAGUCAUUCUUCAACAUAUGGUGCGGAUUCCUUUUACCAAAUGCAACAGAAUUUGCCACCGCUUCAAUCUCUGAGGAGGAGAGCAAACAGCCCUGUUCAUACAGGUUCGCCAUAUGAAUCACCGCACCUUCCGGUUCCAAAUGGGAGUAUUAACUCCAAUUUUGUGAGAAACACUGGUGAUGUUAGUCCAAGGAUUCCAGGUGUGCCUGUAUACGAUCGACUUCCAAACGCAUGGCCUACACCCAAUGGCAACAUACCUUAUAGAGUUGUUGGACAUGAUAGUCCUGUUGUUGUAGAAAACCCUUCUGCUCUUGUUCCUCGGCCAAAUCCAAAUACUACUCAGUAUGUUCAGCCUUUCUUUGCCCCAGAAUCAGUCCAGCAGCAACCAGGUGUUCCAUUGAUUGAGAUUUAUCCUGAAAGAGCAUGUGCUGGGCCCAUGCUAUCAUCGCUUGAUGGUAGAGUAGCUGUUCCUGCAUUACCCCUCACUGAUCAAUUGUCCACACUGGACAUUAACACAACAAAGAAACCUGAAGGACCAGAGGAUGAAAGGCAUAUACAAAAUGUGACUGGAACAAAACCUUCACAUGCUGUGAGUGACCCUAGUACCUUGGUCCACCAUGUUGGAGUUGCACAUGAAGUUGAUCUCAAACAGGGGAAACCCACAGAGCAUGAAGCCAGCAUGACUAAAGUACAUGAAUCUGGGGCUAUAGCAAUGCAGGAAUGUGGGGAUAUAUCAGAGGACAGGUUGAAUUUUCUUCCGGAGUUGGUUGCUUCUGUUAAAAAGGCUGCAUUGGAAGAAGCUGAGAAGCCAGCAGAGGCUCAACCAGAUGCUCGCCCUGCUGUUUCACCUAUUUGUGAUGAUGACAAUGAUGGAAAGAAGUUUGAUGAGAUUGCUGAUGGAGAUCAGGACUCUGAUGUGCAUGGAAGCGGUGACCAGCACAAAAGUUCUGGAAUCGAAGCUACAACCGCAGAAGCUGAAGCUUUGUCCAAGGGACUACAGACUAUAAAAAAUGAUGAUCUGGAGGAAAUCAGAGAGCUGGGUUCAGGUACUUAUGGGGCAGUCUUUCAUGGUAAAUGGAGGGGAUGUGAUGUUGCCAUCAAAAGAAUAAAAGCGAGUUGCUUUGCUGGAAGGCCAUCCGAGAGAGAGCGUUUGAUAGCGGAUUUCUGGAAAGAAGCUCAGAUACUGAGCUCGCUUCAUCAUCCAAAUGUGGUUUCGUUUUAUGGUGUAGUUCGUGAUGGUCCUGAUGGAAGCUUAGCAACUGUCACCGAGUUUAUGAUCAAUGGGUCCCUCAAACAGUUCUUGAGGAAAAAGGACAGGACAAUUGAUCGCCGCAAAAGAGUUAUAUUAGCCAUGGAUGCUGCAUUUGGCAUGGAAUAUUUGCAUGGGAAGAAUAUUGUCCAUUUUGAUCUCAAGUGUGAGAACUUACUGGUGAACAUGAGGGAUCCACAACGACCAAUCUGCAAGAUUGGUGAUCUCGGGCUAUCAAAGGUGAAGCAGCAUACUCUGGUGUCUGGUGGUGUUAGAGGAACCUUGCCAUGGAUGGCGCCAGAGCUUUUGAGUGGGAAAAGCAAUAUGGUGUCAGACAAGAUUGAUGUCUACUCAUUUGGUAUUGUGAUGUGGGAGCUACUUACUGGCGAUGAGCCAUAUUCUGAUAUGCGUGCUGCUGAAAUUAUUGGGGGCAUUGUGAACAAUUCCCUUCGUCCUCAGAUUCCUUCCUGGUGCGAUCCUGAAUGGAAAUCUUUGAUGGAAGGUAGUUGGGCUGGUGAACCAGCUGAAAGACCAUCCUUCACUGAAAUAUCUCAGAGGUUGAGGAAAAUGGCCGCAGCAAUGAACGUGAAGUAAAGGCUCAAGUCAUUAGAGCCACAGGAAAAGGAUUGUAAAGAUUCCCACGUCUAGUUCCCUAACAAGAGGAAGGCAGACUCAGGAAUAUAUGUUACACAAGUGUCUUGGCAGUGUCUCGGUUUAUCUUAGUUCAAAUGAUAAUUUAUGAAGGCCUUCCAUAGUUCCAUGCCAGAAAAAAAAUCGUGGAAGUUCUAAAGCAUGUUUGAUGGACAAAUUUAUCGAGUCGUCAGCUGCCAAUGCCUUCCGUAUGAUAUAUAGUGCAUCUAUCCAUUCCUCAAGAUGGGAACUGUUGAGUUGUAAUGUAAAUAAAUUUUGGCUCGCUCAAUCCAGCUGGCACAUGAUAGAUGUGCGCAGUUACUAGACACUGUUCAAAGUUGGACACAGUUAUCUUUUUUUCAUACAAUUGUGUCCUGAGAAAAGACGGAACAAACUCGAACCGAGAUAUCCUUAUUCAGAUUGUACAUAGUUUAAGAAUAAGAUUUUCACGUUGCUUCGAAAAUGGUCUUUCCUGUAUAUAUCAUCAGUUCCAUCUCUGCCA